rnacentral:miRNA from 1 species
UGUCGCAGGAGAGAUGGCAUG